rnacentral:misc_RNA from 1 species
UCCGAUUUGUCACCGGCAGUCUCCUAUGAGUGCCCUUGCGUAGCAACUAAUGAUAAGGGUUGCGCUCGUUGCGGGACUUAACCCAACAUCUCACGACACGAGCUGACGACGGCCAUGCAGCACCUGUGUUCUAGUUCUCUUUCGAGCACGAAACCAUUUCUGAAGGCUUCCGUACAUGUCAAGGGUAGGUAAGGUUUUUCGCGUUGCAUCGAAUUAAUCCACAUCAUCCACCGCUUGUGCGGGUCCCCGUCAAUUCCUUUGAGUUUUAAUCUUGCGACCGUACUCCCCAGGCGGUCAACUUCACGCGUUAGCUGCGGUACUAGGAAAUCGCUUCCCCAACACCUAGUUGACAUCGUUUAGGGCGUGGACUAC